UUGGCACCUCGAUGUCGGCUCAUCGCAUCCUGGGGCUGAAGUAGGUCCCAAGGGUUGGGCUGUUCGCCCAUUAAAGCGGUACGCGAGCUGGGUUCAGAACGUCGUGAGACAGUUCGGUCCCUAUCUGUCGUGGGCGCAGGAAAUUUGAGAGGAGCUGUCCUUAGUACGAGAGGACCGGGAUGGACGUACCGCUGGUGCAUCAGUUGUUCCGCCAGGAGCAUGGCUGAGUAGCUACGUACGGACGGGAUAAGCGCUGAAAGCAUCUAAGCGUGAAGCCCCCCUCAAGAUGAGAUUUCCCAAUUAGUAAGACCCCUUGAAGACCACGAGGUAGAUAGGUUGGAGGUGGAAGUGCAGCAAUGCAUGGAGCUGACCAAUACUAAUCGGUCGAGGGCUUAUCCAAA
rnacentral:rRNA from 1 species